rnacentral:rRNA from 1 species
GAUGAACGCUGGCGGCGUGCCUAAUACAUGCAAGUCGAGCGAACGGACGAGAAGCUUGCUUCUCUGAUGUUAGCGGCGGACGGGUGAGUAACACGUGGAUAACCUACCUAUAAGACUGGGAUAACUUCGGGAAACCGGAGCUAAUACCGGAUAAUAUUUUGAACCGCAUGGUUCAGAAGUGAAAGACGGUCUUGCUGUCACUUAUAGAUGGAUCCGCGCUGCAUUAGCUAGUUGGUAAGGUAACGGCUUACCAAGGCAACGAUGCAUAGCCGACCUGAGAGGGUGAUCGGCCACCCUGGAACUGAGACACGGUCCAGACUCCUACGGGAGGCAGCAGUAGGGAAUCUUCCGCAAUGGGCGAAAGCCUGACGGAGCAACGCCGCGUGAGUGAUGAAGGUCUUCGGAUCGUAAAACUCUGUUAUUAGGGAAGAACAUAUGUGUAAGUAACUGUGCACAUCUUGACGGUACCUAAUCAGAAAGCCACGGCUAACUACGUG